GACGAACGCUGGCGGCGUGCUUAACACAUGCAAGUCGAACGGAAAGGCCCUGCUUUUGUGGGGUGCUCGAGUGGCGAACGGGUGAGUAACACGUGAGUAACCUGCCCUUGACUUUGGGAUAACUUCAGGAAACUGGGGCUAAUACCGGCUAGGAGCUCCUGCUGCAUGGUGGGGGUUGGAAAGUUUCGGCGGUGGGGGAUGGACUCGCGGCUUAUCAGCUGGUUGGUGGGGUAGUGGCUUACCAAGGCUUUGACGGGUAGCCGGCCUGAGAGGGUGACCGGCCACAUUGGGACUGAGAUACGGCCCAGACGCCUACGGGAGGCAGCAGUGGGGAAUAUUGCACAAUGGGCGGAAGCCUGAUGCAGCAACGCCGCGUGCGGGAUGACGGCCUUCGGGUUGUAAACCGCUUUCGCCUGUGACGAAGCGUGAGUGACGGUAAUGGGUAAAGAAGCACCGGCUAACUACGUG
rnacentral:rRNA from 1 species